GGUCUCUUUGUGCACCCGCCCACACGGUUUGCCGUGUUUUCACCCUUCUUUGUUCUCCACCGGUCUGGGCAGGGUCUGAGGACUCCGGAGAGCAAGGCAUGGGUCCGCCUCGUGCCGCAGGUAUCCUGGGGUCCUGUGGGGAGGGCUCUGCGGUGUGGGGCCGGGUAUGAUGACCCACAUUUACAGACUAGAGUUUCUGAUGUCCACGUGACGCCACUCCUUGUAACUGACCCAGGCCGGGGUGGGGGCUGCAGGCCGGGGUCUCUACGACCUGUGCUCAUUCAAUGAUCUCUUCCAGGUUCCUGGCCCACGCCAGCCGUACCCAGUAGCACAAUGGGAUUUGAGGACACACGCCAGCUGCCUACACCUGAAGAAAGGUUAGUCUUAGGUUUCACUGGCAUGCUUGUCUCUUGGCUUGACUUUUUGGAAGGGGUGGAUUCGAGACAGGGUUUCUCCAUGUAGCCCUGAUCUCAGAUCCGCCUGCCUCUACUCUCUGGAAUUAAAUGCAUACAGCACCACCGACUGGCCCUUGUUUUGUUCUUAAUAUCCUGCCUGCAUUAGCCAGUCUCCAAGCAAGCUACCACCCAGCCAUCUUUUUGUUUUUAGAUCUUAACUAAUCUCCCUAACUCUAAAUCUAUGGUGGAUCCAGGAGCUGCCUUGAUUAUUUCUUGUGCCUUUAAGUUCUGUAUGCUAGUCCACGGCAGUGGGUCUCAGCCUUCCUGAGGGCCUUUAAUGCAGUUCCUCGGGCUGUGAUGUUCCUAACCAUCGGUUUUAUUUUCCUUGUAUCUUCAUAACUAAAGUUUGCUAUUGUGAUAACACAGGCUGUCCUGUCUGGGACCCCUAUGUAAGGGUUCCUUGGUGACACAGGUUGAGAGCCACUGUUUUAGACUAUGCUUUUGGGUAUUUAGACGGGCUCUCAAUUCAGGAUGGCCUUAGUCCUGGCUCCAACCACCUUUUUUUUUUUUUUUUUAAGAUUUAGAUGUUUGUGAGUACACUAUUGCUGUCUUCAGACACACCAGAAGAGGGCGUCAGAUCCCAUUACACAUGGUUAUGAGCCAUCUCUCCGGCCCAUGCCACCUUUUUUCGUUAAAGGUUUUAGCAGUUAAAUUUCAGUCCCCAGGAGUUUUGGCUUUAUAUAGCUCUGCAACAGUCCGAAGCCUAACUACACACACUGGCUACCGCAUCCUGUGUCUAUCGGAUUGACAUUCCCUGGGUGGUACCCUAGGUUCUGGUCUCCCUCAAUUGAGAGUGAUGAUUUCACAGACUAGAGUCUCUGACGCUGUCCUUGAUGUCAGCUAUAAAUCUGACUCAUUUGGGGAACCUCUUGAGAUUGAGCCCAGUGUGCCAACACUGGCUCUGGUGAGGAACAUACCCUGCUCUCCUGUUUCUCAUUGUGCCCAUCUUAACUCUCCAGGGUGAGCUCUGAGGACUUCACAGGGGCCCCAUCCCCUCACCUAGAUGAGGGCUAACCUUGGAAUCCAGACAAAGGUGGAAGUGACCUAGAUGUGACCUGAAUGAGCUAAUCAUCUAAUGAGAGCCAGCCCUUUGUCCUGCCCACAUGAAGGGCUUUGCUGCUACGCACUGACAAGUUGGACGGCUUUUUAUUGCUUUGUUGCCAGUUAUCUGAACAUGAGAGGCUGUAAGGUGUAAUCUGCGAGCCCUGCGCCCAGACUGAACCAGGGCCUCCCUUGAACAUGAGUAUUAGACAAAUGAAAUAAGAACUUAUCUUGCCCAGACUAUAUAAUGGCUUGGAAAUGCAUAGUUUCCUGAACGAUCUCAAUAAAAUACUUUUAAAAGUA
rnacentral:lncRNA from 1 species